GUUGUUUCAGUAUCACAAAUACUAAAAUUAGAAUAACACAGAGAAGAUUAUCAUGGCCCUGGAGCAAAGAUGACAUGCAAAUUCAAGAAGUGCCCCAUAUUUCU
rnacentral:snRNA from 1 species